rnacentral:rRNA from 1 species
UACGGGGGGGGCAAGCGUUGUUCGGAAUUACUGGGCGUAAAGGGCGCGUAGGCGGUCAGACCAAGUCGAGUGUGAAAUUCCAGGGCUUAACUCUGGCACGCUCGCUCGAUACUGGUCGGCUAGAGUGUGGAAGAGGAUGCUGGAAUUCCCGGUGUAGCGGUGAAAUGCGUAGAUAUCAGGAGGAACACCGGUGGCGAAGGCGGCCCACUGGGCAGUCACUGACGCUGAGGCGCGAAAGCUCGGGGAGCGAACGGG